AUGAGGGUUUCAAUUUUUCCACAAAAUGAAUAACACUUGUCAUUGUCUGUCUUUUCUAUUUUAACUGUCCUAGAAUAAGCAUAAGGAACUAAACACCUAAGCCUAUCAUAGUAAAACUGCUGAAAACCCAAAUUGAAGAUACGAUCAAAAAGCAGCCAGAGGAAAAAAUUUCUAGAGCCUGGGAAGUUCAAGAUCAAGGAGCCGGCAUCUGGUGUUUGUCAAAGGCCUUAUUGUUGCCUCCUCCAGAGGUGAAGAAUGUUGUGUCUUUACAUGGCAGAAGGCAGAAGGUCAAUGACUGUCUUCAUCAAGCCCUUUUAUAAUGGCAUUAAUUUAUUCAUGAGGACAGAGCCCUCAUAACCUAAACAUCUCCCCAAAGACCCAACCUCCCAACAGUUGCACUGGGGAUUAAGUUUCUAAUAUGUGGAUUUUGGGAGACACAUUCAGAAUAUAGCAUUUUGCUUCUGGACUCUCAAAAUUCACGUCCUUCUUACAUGCAAAAUACAUUCAUUCUAUCCCCAAAGCACCCAAAGUCUUAACUCAUUCCAGUAUCAACUCAAAAGCCUAAAAUCCAGAGUCUUAUCUAAAUUAAAUACGGGUGAGACUCAAGACACGAUGCAUCCUGAGGCAAACUUCCCUCCAUCUGUGAGGCUGUGAAAUCAAACAAGUUAUGCAUUUCUAAAAUAUAGUGGUGGGAUAGGCACAGGUUAUACAAUUCUAUCACAAAAGGGAGAAAUAGGAAAGGAGAAAAGAGUAGUGGGUCCCAAGUAGGUCCAAAACCCAAAAGGACGAACAUCAUUAAAUCUUAAGGCCGGAGAGUUAUCUUCUUUGACUUUAUAUCCCACCUUCCAGACUUACUGGGGCAGAGGUUGGGUGUCCAAGGCUCCCCAAAACCCUACCCCCAUGGUUCUCAUGGUUUGGAGUCAGAUGCCUGUAACUACGUCAGGCUGAUGUGGAAUACUGGUAACUCUACAAGUCUGAGACCUCAGGGGCAGCCCUGUUUCCAUGGCUCCAUUAGGCAUCGCCCUAGUGGGAACUCUCUGUGAGAGACCUGCCUCUUUGACAGGUGUCUGCCUGGGCCCUGAGGCUGUCUAAGACAUCCUUUGAAAUCUAGGUGGAGGAAGCCGUGCCUCCACAGCUUUUACACUUUGUAUGCCUGCAGAAUUAGUACCACAGGGAUGCUGCCAAGGCUUACCACAUGUGCCCUCUGGACCAGUGGUUUGAGUUACACUGGGGCCUGCUUGAGCCACAGCUGGGGUGGGCCAAGGAGUACUGCACUAUAAUGUGGAGAGCACAGACCUGAGGUGACCCUUGGCAGUGAGCCCUGAGGUCUUGCAGGUACCCUGGGCCCCUUAAUGAAAAUCAUUCUACUCCAAAGGGCCUAGUACUCUGAGCCUGUGGUGAAAAGGAUAGCUUAGAAGAUCCCUGAAAUGUCUUCAGGAUCACUCUCUCAUAGUCUUGGUGAACAAAAUCUGGCUUCUUUCUAUUCAUACUAAUCUCCUUAUCAAAAAGUUGUUGGCCAUGCUCUUAGUUUUCUCUACUAAUCACACUUUUAAAUUCUUGAUAUGGCCAGGCUGAGAAUUUUCCAAAUCUUUACAUUCUGCUUUCCUUUUAAUUAUAAGGUUUGUCUUCAAAUAAUUUCUUAUGGCGUUUUACUAUAAACAGUUAAGAGAAGCCAUGCAGUGUCCUGAACAAUCUGCUCCUUAGAGCUUUUUUCUGCCAAAUAUCUCACUUCCUUGCUCUUAAGUUCUGCUUUCCAUAAAGUCCCGGGACAUAGACAAUUUAGCCCAGUUCUUUGCCACUUUAAAAUAAAGAUGACCUUUUCUUCAGUUUCUGGCACAUUGUUCCUCCUUUCCACCUGAGACUUCAUCAGAACAGUCUUUAUUGCCCACAUUUCUAGCAACAUUCUGUUCGCAAUCAUUUAUGUAAUUUCUAAGAAGAGUGAAGCUUUCUCUAUAGCUCUUCUCCUUCUGAGCCCUCACCAGAAUCACUCUUAAUGCUGUAUUCAUGUUAAUACAGACUUUUUUCCAGGAUUCACUUCAAAACUGUUCCAGCCUCUACCUAUUACCCAGUUCAAAAACAGCUUCCAGAUUUUAAAGUAUUUGUUAUAGCAACAUCCCAUUCCUCUGGUACCAAUUUUUGUCUUAGUACUUUUGUGCUGCUAAAACGGAAUAUCUGAGACUGGGUAGUUUAUAAAGAACAUAAAUUUAUUUCUCACAGUUCUGGAGGCCAGGAAGUCCAAGAAGGCAUUGGCAUCUGGUGCCUGGUGAGAGCCUUCUUGCUGCAUUCUCUGGAGGGGAAAAAUGUUCUGUCAUCACAUGGUAGAAGGUGGAAGUCCAACAGAGCAAGCUCCCCCAAUCAAACCCUUUUAUAACAGCAUUAAUGCAUUCAUAAGGGCAGAGUCUUUAUAACUUAAACACUUCCAAAACAUCCUACCUCCUAACACUGUUGCAUUGUUGGAUUAAAUUUCCAACACAUGCAUUUUGGAGGACACAUUUAGACCAAAGCACUAUUGAUAUACGUGUCUAUCAUUAAGCCAGGAUCAUUCUGUCUUUAUUAAUGUAGAUUUAUCGUAAAUUUUUUAAUGUGGUAGUUUAACGUCUCUCACAUUUUUCUUCACUUUCAAAAUCAUUUAGGCUAUUCUUGGUACAUUGCAUUUCCAUAUGGGACUUAGCAUCAGCUUGUUAAUUUUUCCAAUAAGGCUGCUCAAAUUUUUACAGAGAUUUCAUCAACUCUAUAAGGCACUACAGGAAAACAUCCAUUUUAACAAUAUUGAGCCUCCAAUCUAUGAACAUGAAUUUUCUAUUUAUCUUAGAUUUUUCUAAUUUCUCUCAUCGAUAAUUGGUAGCUUUCAGUGUAACUUACUUGUGCACUUUUAAAAAUCAAAUAAUUUUUUGUUGUGGUAAAAAUAUACAUAACUUAAAAUUUAUUAUUGCCACAAUUUUAAGUGUACAGUUUGGUGGCAUUAAGUACAUUCACAUUAUUGUACAACCAUCACCAGCAAGCAUCUGUAGAACUUUUUCAUCUUCUCCAACCAAAACUUUAUACAAAUUAAUCAUUAGGUCCCCAUUCCACAGCAUUUUCCACCUACAGCCUCUGGCAACCACCAUCUUACUUUCUAUCUCCAUGUAUUUGACCACUAUAGGUACCUCACAUAAGUGGAAUCUUACAAUAUUUUUUUAACUGACUAAUUUCCCUCAACAUAAUGUCUUCAGGGUUCUUUCAUGUCUUGGCAUGUGUAAGAAUUUCCCACCCUUUUAAGGGUUAAUAGCAUCCCAUUGUAUGUAUAUGUUAAAUUUUAUGUAAUCAUUCUUUCAUCUAUGAAUAUGGUUUGCAUCGUCUUUGUAGCUAUUAUGAAUAAGGCUGUUAUGAAUAUGGGUAUAAAAAUAUUGCACACUUUAAAAAUUAAAUUUAAACCUACUUAUGCAUCAUUACUUUAUUCUUUUUUAUGGCUGUAUAUUAUUUCAUUGUGUGGUUAUGUAACAUUUUGUUUAUCCAUUCAUUCAUUGAGGGGCAUUUGUUUUCUUACCCACUUUUUGACUAUUAUUAAAAUGCUGCCAUGAACAUUUGUGUACAGAUUUUUGGGUGAAUGUAUGUCCUCAUUUUCUUGGACAUAUAAUUAGGAGUAGAGUUGCUGAGCCAUAUGAUGACUCUAUGUUUAGCUUUUUGAAGAAUGCCAAUUUUUUUUUACAGCAGCUGAGUCAUUUUACAUUUCCACUACCAAUACAUGACGGCUGCAAUUUAUCCACGCCAUUUAUAACACAUUUUAUUGUAUAUCUUUUUGGUUAUAGCCAUCCUAGUUGUGUGAAGUUCAUUGUUUCAUUGCUGUCUUGAUUUGUGCUUCAUUAGUGGCUAAUAUUCUGGAGCAUCUUUUCAUAUGCUUAUGGCCAUUUUAUGUACUCUUUAGAGAAAUAUCUAUUCAAAUGUUUUGCCCAUUAUAAAAUGGGAUAUUUAUGUCUUUAUAAUUGAAUUAUAUUUUUUAUAUAUUACAGAUACAAAUCCCUUAUCAGAUGCUUGCAAAUAUUUUGUCCCAUUCUGUAUAUUGUCCUUUCGUUUGAUGGAAUUGUUUGUAGCAGAAAGUUUUAAGUUGUGAUGAAGUCAAACAUUUAUUUUUUUCUUUUGUUGCUUAUGCUUUUGGUGUCAUUAUCUAUAAAGUCUUUGCUUACCUCAAGAGCAUGUGGAUUAACUCCUACGGUUUCUUCUAAGAAUUUUCUAGUUUUAGCUUUUACAUUAGGUCCAUGAUCGAGUUUUAGUUAAUUUUCGUGUAUGGUUUAAGAAAGGGGUACAACUUUAUUUUUUUGCAUGUGGAUAUCCAGUUAUUUCAUUGCCAUUUGUUGAAUAAAUUAUUCUUUCCCCUAUUGCACUAUCUUGGAACCUUACUGAAACUCAAUUGACCAUACUGAAAGUGUGUAUUUAUGGAUUCUCAAUUUUGUCUCAACUAUCACGUAUCUAUCCUUAUGCUAGUACGUCUUGAUCCCUGCAGCUCUGUAGCAAGUUUUGAAAUUGUAAAUGGCAUCCUCAAACAUUUUCUCCAUAUUAUCUCUUGAAUUUCCAUAUGAAUUUUAGGAUUAGCUAGUAAAUAUUUGCAAGCAAAAACUUCCAAACAGCUGGGAUUUUAAUAGAAAUUUUGCUGAAUCUAUAGAUUAAUUCGGGGGAGGUCAGUGCCAC
rnacentral:lncRNA from 1 species